GCGAGAGUGGCGGAAUCGGCAGACGCGCACGUUUGAGGGGCGUGUAGGUUUCCUGUACGGGUUCAAGUCCCGUCUCUCGCACCA
rnacentral:tRNA from 1 species